rnacentral:rRNA from 1 species
UACGUAGGGCGCAAGCGUUGUCCGGAAUUAUUGGGCGUAAAGAGCUCGUAGGCGGUUUGUUGCGUCGGCUGUGAAAUCCCGAGGCUCAACCUCGGGUCUGCAGUCGAUACGAGCAAACUAGAGUGUUGCAGGGGAGACUGGAAUUCCUGGUGUAGCGGUGAAAUGCGCAGAUAUCAGGAGGAACACCGGUGGCGAAGGCGGGUCUCUGGGCAAUAACUGACGCUGAGGAGCGAAAGCGUGGGGAGCGAACAGG